AUGCUCUACUAAUAGCGAAUUUAAUUGCACAUCAGACCAUAAUUCUUCUGGAAGCACAAAAGCACAUCUAAUCUAUCAAGGACCGCUUUGCAGUAAAGAAGCUUAAAGAAUGGCCAAGAAAAUUCUGUUGAUUUUGGUAUUGUGCAUGGCCUCGGUUUGUCCGUCGAAUGGCGUGGAAGUCAAGACCAGGGCCAGGCCAUGCUAUUGUGGAAGUCAGUAUAAGGGUACGUCGCUAGACCCAAGAUAUCAUCCAGGGGAUCAUUGGUUUUGGAGAGGUUCCUGCCCAGGUGGACAUGGCUACAAAAAAUCUUGCAAACUGACCUGGGGGGAUAUUUGUUGUUUCCCAAGAACAUAAUAACAGGUUAUAGAUAAACUGAAGUUAACUAGAAGCUCAGUAGUUCGAAAAAUGAUAAAUUGGUCAAAUGAAUAGUGAUUAAUUCAAAGAUUCAAACUUAAAUGUCUUCAGAGUGAUAACUUCGAAGCAAGCAUAUGUUGUAAUCAUGAGCAAAUGAACUACAAAUAAAAUCACAGGAACUCAAAAA